AUGUCCAUGCAACGACAACAGCAACAACCGGCGCGUGCCACUGCCAACCUUCUCGGCGCAAUGCCUGGGGACUCCAUGAUGAGCCUAGCCUUCACGGCCGCCGUGGCCACCGCGGCCAUAGUGGUGGCCGUCGCUGUGGCGAGGUACAACCGGAAGUACCGGGGGCUGAGGCUCCCACCCGGCCCGCCCGGGUGGCCCAUCGUCGGGAACCUCUUCCAGGUCGCCUUCUCCGGGAAGCUCUUCAUCCACUACAUCCGCGACCUGCGGCGUGAGUACGGACCCAUCCUGACGCUGCGGAUGGGCGUGCGCACGCUCGUCGUCAUCAGCAGCGCCGAGCUCGUGCACGAGGCGCUCGUCGAGAAGGGCGCCGAGUUCGCCAGCCGCCCCGCCGAGAACACCACGCGCAACAUCUUCUCCUCCAACAAGUUCACCGUCAACUCCGCGGUGUACGGCCCCGAGUGGCGGUCGUUGCGUCGGAACAUGGUGUCCGGGAUGCUGAGCACGUCGCGUCUCCGGGAGUUCCGCCCGGCGAGGCUUCGAGCCAUGGACCGCUUCGUGGCACGCAUGCGCGCCGACGCCGCUGCGUCCGCCGACGGGGCCUCCGUGUGGGUGCUCCGCAACGCGCGCUUCGCGGUGUUCUGCAUCCUGCUCGAUAUGACCUUCGGCCUGCUCGACCUGGACGAGGAGCACAUCGUGCACAUCGACGCCGUCCUGAAGCGCGUGCUGCUCGCCGUCGGCGUGCGCAUGGAUGACUACCUCCCGUUCCUCCGCCCCUUCUUCUGGCGGAAGCAGCGCCGGGCGCUCGCCGUUCGCCGCGAGCAGGUCGACACGCUCCUCCCGCUCAUCAACCGCCGCCGCGCCAUCCUCCGCGACAUGCAGAGCUCGCCGCCAGAUCCCAACGUCGCCGCGCCCUUCUCGUACCUCGACUCGCUGCUGGACCUCCACAUCGAGGGCCGCCAAGGCGCAGACGAGGAGCUGGUCACACUCUGCGCGGAGCUGAUCAACGGUGGCACCGACACCACGGCCACCGCCAUUGAGUGGGCCAUGGCGCGCAUCGUGGACAACCCGUCCAUCCAGGUCCGGCUCCACGAGGAGAUCAUGCAGCAAGUCGGCCACGCCCGGGCAAUCGACGACAAGGACAUCGAGAGCAUGCCCUACCUCCAGGCCUUCGUCAAGGAGCUCCUCCGGAAGCACCCGCCCACCUACUUUUCGCUCACCCACGCCGCCGUCAAGCCUGGGAGCAAGCUCGCCGGCUACGACGUGCCCACGGACGCGAACCUGGACAUCUUCCUCCCGACCAUCUCGGAGGACCCCAAGCUGUGGGACCGGCCGACGGAGUUCGACCCGGAUAGGUUCCUAACCGGCGGCGAGACCGCGGACAUGACAGGGUCCGCGGGCAUCCGGAUGAUACCGUUCGGGGCGGGGCGGCGGAUCUGCCCGGGCUUGGCCAUGGGGACGACGCACAUCGCGCUCAUGGUGGCGCGGAUGCUGCAGGAGUUCGAGUGGCGCGCGCACCCGUCGCAGCCGGCGGUCGACUUCAAGGAUAAGGUGGAGUUCACGGUGGUGAUGAACCAGCCUCUGCUGGCCACCGUCAAGCCCCGGAAGAUGUCGCUCUGA
rnacentral:rRNA from 1 species